AUUGAACGCUGGCGGCAUGCCUUACACAUGCAAGUCGAACGGCAGCACGGGUGCUUGCACCUGGUGGCGAGUGGCGAACGGGUGAGUAAUACAUCGGAACGUACCUUAUCGUGGGGGAUAACGCAGCGAAAGCUGUGCUAAUACCGCAUACGCCCUGAGGGGGAAAGCGGGGGAUCGCAAGACCUCGCGCGAUUAGAGCGGCCGAUGCCUGAUUAGCUUGUUGGUGGGGUAAAAGCCCACCAAGGCGACGAUCAGUAGCUGGUCUGAGAGGACGAUCAGCCACACUGGGACUGAGACACGGCCCAGACUCCUACGGGAGGCAGCAGUGGGGAAUUUUGGACAAUGGGGGCAACCCUGAUCCAGCAAUGCCGCGUGAGUGAAGAAGGCCUUCGGGUGCUAAAGCUCUUUUGUCAGGGAAGAAACACCGGCUCUAACACAGUCAGGGAAUGACGGUACCUGAAGAAUAAGCACCGGCUAACUACGUGCCAGCCGCCGCUGUAA
rnacentral:rRNA from 1 species